GUGCCAGCAGCCGCGGUAAUUCCAGCUCCAAUAGCGUAUAUUAAAGUUGCUGUGGUUAAAAAGCUCGUAGUUGAACCUUGGGCCUGGCUGGCCGGUCCGCCUCACCGCGUGCACUGGUCCGGCCGGGCCUUUCCCUCUGUGGAACCCCAUACCCUUCACUGGGCGUGGCGGGGAAACAGGACAUUUACUUUGAAAAAAUUAGAGUGCUCCAGGCAGGCCUAUGCUCGAAUACAUUAGCAUGGAAUAAUAAAAUAGGACGCGCGGUUCUAUUUUGUUGGUUUAUAGGACCGCCGUAAUGAUUAAUAGGGACAGUCGGGGGCAUCAGUAUUCAACUGUCAGAGGUGAAAUUCUUGGAUCAGUUGAAGACUAACUACUGCGAAAGCAUUUGCCAAGGAUGUUUUCAUUAAUCAGGAACGAAAGUUAGGGGAUCGAAGACGAUCAGAUACCGUCGUAGUCUUAACCAUAAACUAUGGCCGACUAGGGAUCGGACGGGGUUAUUCAUGACCCGUUCGGCACCUUACGAGAAAAUCAAAGUGCUUGGGCUCCAGGGGGAGUAUGGGUCGCAAGCUGAAACUUUAAGAAAUUUGACGGAAGGGCACCACCAGGGUGGGAGCCUGCGGCCUUAAUUUGACUCACCACGGGGGAAACUCACCAGGUCCAGACCGCAAUGAGGGAUUGACAGAUGGAGGAGCUCUUUCUUGAUUUUAGGGGAGGGAGGGUGCAUGGCCGGUCUUAAGAUGAUGCGGUUGACUGGGCUUGCUUAUAUGCGAUAACCAAACAGAGAACUCUAAGUCUUGUUAAAUAACCCCGCAUUGGUUCGGG
rnacentral:rRNA from 1 species